UGACAAUCGAUGAUCGGGAGAGUAAUUAUGGGAUUCCAGCCCUCAGCGAGCCGGGUAAGUGAAAGCCGGUGCGGAACUUAUAAUGAAGCGCACCCGUGAGAUGGACUUCUGAACAUAACAAUAGGAAGUCCCGGCAGAAGGCCGUUAACCUGUGAGGUGGCUGGACCGUAGGUCCGGCAACAAGAGUGGUACCGCGAGCGCUAACAGCCCUCGUCUCUUUU
rnacentral:ncRNA from 1 species